ACCUAGCUGACGGGUCCCAAAUAGGACAAGACGCGCGUCCUAGAU
rnacentral:hammerhead_ribozyme from 1 species